rnacentral:ncRNA from 2 species
CAACAUCGCUCGGGGUGUUUGCUGCGGCAGACUGAGAGGCCGCCGGGCUUGCCUGCACGGGAAUGCGCGCAGACAGGCUCAUGACCAACCCGUUGAACCUGAUCCGGAUCAUGCCGGCGUAGGAAAGCCGCUACCGCCCCUG